rnacentral:rRNA from 1 species
GUUAAGCGACUAAGCGUACACGGUGGAUGCCCUGGCAGUCAGAGGCGAUGAAGGACGUGCUAAUCUGCGAUAAGCGUCGGUAAGGUGAUAUGAACCGUUAUAACCGGCGAUUUCCGAAUGGGGAAACCCAGUGUGAUUCGUCACACUAUCAUUAACUGAAUCCAUAGGUUAAUGAGGCGAACCGGGGGAACUGAAACAUCUAAGUACCCCGAGGAAAAGAAAUCAACCGAGAUUCCCCCAGUAGCGGCGAGCGAACGGGGAGCAGCCCAGAGCCUGAAUCAGUGUGUGUGUUAGUGGAAGCGUCUGGAAAGGCGCGCGAUACAGGGUGACAGCCCCGUACACAAAAAUGCACAUGCUGUGAGCUCGAUGAGUAGGGCGGGACACGUGGUAUCCUGUCUGAAUAUGGGGGGACCAUCCUCCAAGGCUAAAUACUCCUGACUGACCGAUAGUGAACCAGUACCGUGAGGGAAAGGCGAAAAGAACCCCGGCGAGGGGAGUGAAAAAGAACCUGAAACCGUGUACGUACAAGCAGUGGGAGCACGCUUAGGCGUGUGACUGCGUACCUUUUGUAUAAUGGGUCAGCGACUUAUAUUCUGUAGCAAGGUUAACCGAAUAGGGGAGCCGAAGGGAAACCGAGUCUUAACUGGGCGUUAAGUUGCAGGGUAUAGACCCGAAACCCGGUGAUCUAGCCAUGGGCAGGUUGAAGGUUGGGUAACACUAACUGGAGGACCGAACCGACUAAUGUUGAAAAAUUAGCGGAUGACUUGUGGCUGGGGGUGAAAGGCCAAUCAAACCGGGAGAUAGCUGGUUCUCCCCGAAAGCUAUUUAGGUAGCGCCUCGUGAAUUCAUCUCCGGGGGUAGAGCACUGUUUCGGCAAGGGGGUCAUCCCGACUUACCAACCCGAUGCAAACUGCGAAUACCGGAGAAUGUUAUCACGGGAGACACACGGCGGGUGCUAACGUCCGUCGUGAAGAGGGAAACAACCCAGACCGCCAGCUAAGGUCCCAAAGUCAUGGUUAAGUGGGAAACGAUGUGGGAAGGCCCAGACAGCCAGGAUGUUGGCUUAGAAGCAGCCAUCAUUUAAAGAAAGCGUAAUAGCUCACUGGUCGAGUCGGCCUGCGCGGAAGAUGUAACGGGGCUAAACCAUGCACCGAAGCUGCGGCAGCGACACUGUGUGUUGUUGGGUAGGGGAGCGUUCUGUAAGCCUGCGAAGGUGUGCUGUGAGGCAUGCUGGAGGUAUCAGAAGUGCGAAUGCUGACAUAAGUAACGAUAAAGCGGGUGAAAAGCCCGCUCGCCGGAAGACCAAGGGUUCCUGUCCAACGUUAAUCGGGGCAGGGUGAGUCGACCCCUAAGGCGAGGCCGAAAGGCGUAGUCGAUGGGAAACAGGUUAAUAUUCCUGUACUUGGUGUUACUGCGAAGGGGGGACGGAGAAGGCUAUGUUGGCCGGGCGACGGUUGUCCCGGUUUAAGCGUGUAGGCUGGUUUUCCAGGCAAAUCCGGAAAAUCAAGGCUGAGGCGUGAUGACGAGGCACUACGGUGCUGAAGCAACAAAUGCCCUGCUUCCAGGAAAAGCCUCUAAGCAU